CUCGGAACAGUUACUUCCUCAACGUCGACUCCUUCAUGAAGUUGCUUAAAAGUCAAAUAAAUAUCUUCUGCUGAUCUUGCUUCAAGAACUGGCAGCACUGCAUUAGUCUUCGCCUUCAUAUCUUCCUGUAACAACACACAUUCAGAAUAGGCAAUAUGAGAUCCCUCAGGGAACCAUAUUACCAUGUUGUCCAAGCUCACUAGUGGAUAAUGAAAAGGGCGCAUGUGAAAGCCACAGUAUUUAAGCAUA